rnacentral:misc_RNA from 1 species
GAAAUGCGAUAAGUAAUGUGAAUUGCAGAAUUCAGUGAAUCAUCGAAUCCUUGAACGCACCUUGCGCUCCUUGGUAUUCCUUGGAGCAUGCCUGUUUGAGUAUCAUGAAAUCUUCAAAGUAAAUCUUUUGUUAACUCAAUUGGCUUCUACUUUGGUAUUGGAGGUCUUUGCAGCUUCACACCUGCUCCUCUUUGUUCAUUAGCUGGAUCUCAGUGUUAUGCUUGGUUCCACUCGGCGUGAUAAGUUAUCUAUCGCUGAGGACACUGUAAAAGGUGGCCAAGGUAAAUGCAGAUGAACCGCUUCUAAUAGUCCAUUGACUUGGACAAUACUUUUAUGAUCUGAUCUCAAAUCAGGUAGGACUACCCGCUGAACUUAAGC